CAAGAAGACAAGUCUUUUUUCUGUUGGGCUCCGCUAUGGAGGUAGAGUGUGAGAACUACCCCUUUUGGUCUCUUGACUCCAUUUUAACGAGGUUUCGGUUUAUUAGUUUCUACAGUUUCUGAGAUCCCUAUUCAAACGUCCUCUUCUCCCUGGGCCAAUGGAAGCUUCCUUUGCCGGGUGAGAUGGAAGUGGACUCUCAGAUUGGCGCUGAAAAGGAAGAAGAAUGGAGGGGGGGGUCCCAGGGGGGCCACUUACUUCCCAGUGCUUUUCUGGGCCUUUUUCCUCCUCCUCCUCCUCCCAAGUUUCGAAUAAAGACAGCUGCUUCUUUGAGA
rnacentral:lncRNA from 1 species